AGCAGUCGCCGCGGGAAUACAGAGGGUGCAAGCGUUAAUCGGAUUUACUGGGCGUAAAGGGCGCGUAGGUGGUUAUGUAAGUGAGAUGUGAAAUCCCCGGGCUCAACCUGGGAACUGCAUCUUAUACUGCGUAGCUGGAGUGCAGUAGAGGGUAGUGGAAUUUCCGGUGUAGCGGUGAAAUGCGUAGAUAUCGGAAGGAACACCAGUGGCGAAGGCGGCUACCUGGACUGACACUGACACUGAGGCGCGAAAGCGUGGAGAGCAAACAGGAUUAGAUACCCCCGUAGUCCCUGUCUCUUAUAA
rnacentral:rRNA from 1 species